AUAAUGGGUCAGCGACUUAUAUUCUGUAGCAAGGUUAACCGAAUAGGGGAGCCGAAGGGAAACCGAGUCUUAACUGGGCGUUAAGUUGCAGGGUAUAGACCCGAAACCCGGUGAUCUAGCCAUGGGCAGGUUGAAGGUUGGGUAACACUAACUGGAGGACCGAACCGACUAAUGUUGAAAAAUUAGCGGAUGACUUGUGGCUGGGGGUGAAAGGCCAAUCAAACCGGGAGAUAGCUGGUUCUCCCCGAAAGCUAUUUAGGUAGCGCCUCGUGAAUUCAUCUCCGGGGGUAGAGCACUGUUUCGGCAAGGGGGUCAUCCCGACUUACCAACCCGAUGCAAACUGCGAAUACCGGAGAAUGUUAUCACGGGAGACACACGGCGGGUGCUAACGUCCGUCGUGAAGAGGGAAACAACCCAGACCGCCAGCUAAGGUCCCA
rnacentral:rRNA from 1 species